rnacentral:pre_miRNA from 1 species
AUAACAUUCGGACCGUCGGUCUACCUAGCAAUAUCACCCGCUCGGUGGAGGAUUUUCCCUCCGUCGU